AAUGGAUGUUUUCUUUUAAAAAUGGUUUAUUGAAGUAUGUACCUAUCUUAAGUGUACAGCAUGAUGAUGUGUAUGCCCAUGUAACCAUCACCUAGAAGAUUGGACCCAACUAGGAUCUCCCUUGGAGUGGAUCAGACUGAUGAUCUCCACCAUCCAAAUGGUUCCUGAAUAAAAAAGAAGAAGGUGUCACCUACUUCAAUAUGACGUCUUAAAGACACUGUGUUAUUUCAGCGAUAAUGCCCCUGUCCAUCAAUCCAACUGGUGUUUUCAUUCCUCAUCUUACUUUGUCUUAAGUGCAUUCAGCUGAUGCUUUAUUCUAGAGAUACUGUCCUUUUCACUUUUAUGUGGCCAUCUUUACCCUGUUUUGUCAUAAAACUCUUUUAAAAAACCAACUUUUAAAAUGUUAAAUUGUGGCAAAAUACAAAAAAUUGACUGGCUUAACCCUUGGUAAGUGUCCAGUUCAGUAAAUACGCACAUUAUCGUGCAACCAUCACCACCAUCCAUCUCCAGAACGUUUUUCUCUUUGCAAAAUUGAAACUCUGUAAACAUUGAAAACAACUCUUUCUAUUCUCUUCCCAUCAGCUCCUUGCGACCACCACACUGCUUUCCCUCUCUAUAAAUAUUUCUACACCAGGAACCUCCUGUGACUGGAUCACACAAUAUUUAUCCUUUCAUGCCUGACUUUUACUUAGUAUAGUGCCCUCAAGGUCCAUCCAUGUGAUACCAUGUAUUAGAACUUCCUCUCUUCUAAGGGUGACUAAUAUUCCAUUGUAUGUAUAGAGCACAUUCUGUUUAUCUGUUCAUCCGUCGAUGGAUACGUGGGCUGCUUCCCGCUUUGGGCUGUUGGAUGCCUUAAUACUCUUGCUCCCACUGCUCAAUAUCAUUUUAUUUAUUUUUAUUUAUUUUAUUUUAUUUACUUCUUUAUUUUUUGAGACAGAGUCUCGCUCUGUCGCCCAGGCUGAAGUGCAAUGGUGUGAUCUCAGCUCACUGCAAGCUCUGCCUCCCGGGUUCAGGCCAUUCUCCUGCCUCAGCCUCCCGAGUAGCUGGGACUACAGGCGCCCGCCACCAUGCCUGGCUAAUUUUUUUUGUAGUUUUAGUAGAGACGGGGUUUCACCGUGUUAGUCAGGAUGGUCUCGAUCUCCUGACCUCAUGAUCCGCCCGUCUCGGCCUCCCAAAGUGCUGGGAUUACAGGCAUGAGCCACUGCGCCCGGCCUCAGUAUCAUUUUAAAAAGAGCAAAACUGUCAUGUGCAGCCAACAUGGAGGGAACUGGAAGAAAUUGUGUUAAGUGAAAUAAGCUCAGUCCAGUAAAACAAUGGCACCAAUAGUCUUAAUACACAGAAUAGACCAUUGAACUACUGCACACAUGCACUUGCUAAAUAUUACAAUAUUUUGACUCCCAUUUUCCCACCUCUCACAUUCUUUCUCUAGUUACACUGUAGUAUCCGUUACACUUGAUAAUCCCAGCUUCCCUGUAUGUGCUUCUCCACCAGUGCGCUCUGCCUCAAUGCAUGACACCAACACAUGCCUACUAUUCUUUGCCUGAAACCUCAGGCAUAUGUAUGUGCGUUCUUCCUCAUCCAUGCCUAAUAUAUGGUUCUCAGCUGGGGUAAACUGUGCCCACCUCAAGGGAAAAUUAACAGUGACUGCAGACAUUUUGAGUUAUUACACUUGAGUAUGCUACUGACUCCAGUGGGCAGGGGCCAGGGACACAGCUAAACAUCCUACAAUGCACAGCACAGCCCUCUUCCCUCUGAAAAUGUAUUAUGUGGCCCACAUGUCCAUAGUGUAAUAGAUCGAAACACUGCCAUCUGGCAAAGACCUUCUCCUCGACCAGACUUGACUUAGGCUUCCCUGAGCCCUCUUCCUGACUAGGCCUGGACUUUGGACAUCUGUGUCCAUCCUGGCUGCACCCAGUUUCAACAAGGGUAAUGAGAAUCCCCCCAUCCUUGAUACCUGAUCCGGAUUCUCAUCUUCCACUCUUAAUGUCUAAGUCUUUGGCCUGCCUUUAGCAAGGAUUCUGCUCUUGAUACCUAAUCAAGUUGCUCUUUGUAAUUUCCCACCCACUGACCGCCUUACUCUGAUAAUUGUCUACAAAAAACCAACUAUCAUUGCUAUAUUCAGAGUUGAGUUGGGUCUCUGUCCCCUGUUGCAAUUGUGUUGAAUAUUCUUCCUCACCAUUUACCCAAGCGUCAGAAUACUUUUUCUUUUACAUCUAACAAUCUCACAUUCACGCUCAGCAUCUAAGGAUAAAUGUUUAUUUUUUCACCGAAAUUCCUUCAAUAAUCAGUCCCCUCUAACCAUCCUGCAUGAUCACUUAAAUCUGCCUUAGCUUCUGUGGGAUCUUAUGUCUCUCUAUGUCGCUACAAUGCCCCGGUAAUCACAUUCAUUUGCAUUAUGUUUAAUUGUCUGGCUUAAUCCGUCUCUCUGAGUAGAAGUUUUGUCAAAACACCACACUAUCGGCACCUGUAGUCCCAGCUACUUGGGAGGCUGAGGCAGGAGAAUGCUGUGAAUCCGGGAGGCGGAGCUUGCAGUGAGCUGAGAUCGUGCCACUGCACUCCAGCCUGGGUGACGGAGCGAAACUCCGUCUCAAAAACAAACAAAAAAAAACCCCACACUAUCCACCAAAGCAUACCCAAGCGCAGGGCAUAAAGAAGGCACUCCAUCAGUAUCUUCACCCCAUCCCUUCCUCAGUUUCAGGUCCUACUUCCUUACCUGACUUUGGGUAAGAAAGUAUAAUGACAUCUUCAUCCCACAACACAACUUCAUCCUGCAAACAUCUCAGGUCUGUAAAAUUAUUGCUGGGAAAAGGAAUCCCUUCAAUCCAGAUAGAUUCACCAGCCAUCUAAAAAAACACCACAGGCUUCCCAGGUUCGUAUUUGUUGUACCUGUGCAAUCUUAGAGGCACCACUUUUCUUGUUCUGUGACAGGUUAAGAUGCAAAGGAUGGAGAGAUUGGGACAGAGCAGCCCAAGUUCAUUUUGAUACAGCUUCGAUGACUGGAGGAUUACCGGGCUUUUUGGUCUGGUGCUGAUAGGAUUAACGACAUGGACACAUGUGGAGUAGUUUUAAGAGUGAAAAGUUUAAUAGGCAAGUAAGAAGGAAGAAAGAAGAGAACAGCUCCCCCGUACUGAGACAUGGGAAAGGAACAGAGAUAGACCCUGUGCACAACAGAAAGACAGUCCGUUAUAUCGGGAGGCUGUAGGAGGCGGUAUCUGGUUUGCAUAAGGCCCAAAGGAUUGGUUUGACCAGGUGUAUUAUUCAUGUAGCCUGGGAGAAAACAGGCCCUCCCACCAUAGCCUUUUAAUAUGCAAAUAUGGGUUGCCAUGAUGGUUUGAACACAUGGUGUUACUUGGAGGUGGCCAUCACACUUUGCACAGGUGGUAACAAGGAGAAGACGGUGGGAAUCACCAUAUUGAGUGGACUCAGUUUCUAGUGGCCAGAUUCGCACAUCAAAGCUUGUCAGCCCGGCCCUUGAAGCCGCCUUUUUGGUUAGAAAGAGAUUGUUUGGGGAUCAUUUCUUAUUACAGGAAAAUCUCCACCAAGAACCUUUACCCUUACUGUAUGCCUAAAAUGAUUUCUUAAUAACUCCUGUAAUAUCCUCCCCUCAAAGAGAAUUAAACCUAACUGCCGUUAGGGGGUGUUAGAUGAUGAUUCUUUCUGGCUACUGUCUGCUGAAAAGGGGCGUGUGGUGGGGGGGACAGCAGUUGGGCCUUCUCCUGUGGUUGAUCUAAGGUUCUCAGAAGAAUGGCAUGUCUAUGUGUGGCUCUGCUCACAGCACCAUUUAAAGUUUAAUUGAUUCUAUUAAACUUUAUUUAAUGUUUUAUUAAAUAAAACAUUUAAUAAAAUAUUAAAAUAGUAAAUUUUAAUUUAAGGUGAAAAAUAUAAAUUUUACAAGAAGAUUUAAAAUGUAGGGUUAGGAUACAAUUAUUAAAAUUACCACCGUUAGUGGGGGGCCCUAUUAGACCAUAACUGACAGUAGAGUUUGACACCUUUUAGUUACACCAAUGGAUUGCAAUACUGGCUUGCCUCCACUAGAUGGCGGUGUACAUUACCAGAAACGUUAAUAUAGAAGUAACUUUUUCCUAGAGAAAAGCGGACAUUUCCCCCUUAAUCUGCCGUUAGAGAAUAACUUUAGGCCUAGGCCAUUUUUACAACUUGCAGUAUGAUUGGGAGAAAUACAUUAUUGGGUGGCUAAAAUAACUUCAGCGUUAAUUUUGACAGUUCCUUUCCAUUAUUAAAAUCUUUCAUGACUUUUAUACACCUUCUUACAACAUCUUCAAACUUUUUGGUUUGUCCUAAACAUCCUUUGUUUAAACAACCAGUUAUUUCCCUUUAGUACAAGAAUUUACCAUACAAAAUCCUUCCUUAUAUAAAAUCUCUUCCUUUAUACCCUUUUCAUAGUGUGUAUCAUAUUACCAACCUUUAGUAAAGUCUUUUCAAACUUAAUGAUAGUAUAACUUUCAUGCUUCUUAUCCAUAACUAUUAGUCCUGCUAUAAGCAAAACAACCUUGACUAAAUUUUUCCUGCAAUUAUUAAUCCUGUUAUAAGGAUGAUAAUCAGGCAAAAUAUUACAGCAAUUAGAAUUUUACAACCAGAAUUCCACAUUGUGGGUGCCACAGUGUUCAGUUCUAUUGCAAAUAGUAGCUUGACUAGAACAAUUUUUGCAAGAGUGGCAUAGUAAAUAAUUUUCAUUUAAAACUUUGCUUGCCAAGAUAUAACAUGUCCCUUUGGGGAUUUACAAAGUUACAAAUCUGAUUCUAUGAAUAAUUAAAUCUGUCUGCAAAUAUGCAUUAAAAAGAAGUUCUAAUAUUUGGCGGUGAACUUUGAGAGGAAAGUUUGGAAAAAAUAAAAAGUAUGUGAUAAGGUAGCAGUGGGACUAAGAUUGUAGCCCUCACUCAGUUACUUAUCUUUUAUGAUUUUCAGCUUAAGAUCUUCUUUUGUUUUUUUGUUUUUUUUUUUUUGAGAUGGAGUCUUGUUCUGUCACCCAGCCUGGAGUGCAGUGGCCUGAUCUCGGCUCACUGCAACCUCCGCCUCCCGGGUUCAAGCGAUUCUCCUGCCUCAGCCUCCUGGGUAGCUGGGACUACAGGUGCCCACCACCACGCCUGGCUAAUUUGAAUUAGUUUUUGUAUUUUUAGUAGAGACAGGGUUUCACCAUGUUACCCAGGCUGGUCUCGAUCUCCUAACCUCCUAAUCCGCCCGCCUCGGCCUCCCAAAGUGCUGGGAUUACAGGUAUGAGCCACGGCGCCUGGCCAAGAUCUUCUAUUUCUUCACACUGAUAUUGAGGACAUUCCUCCGGACUGUCAGGGGUGGCUUCCUCAGCUUUGCAGGCUUUGGCUUGAUUGUGAUGUAUUCACAAGUUGAUUCCUGUAACUUUUACUGCCCAAGGGGGUUGAGAGAACAAGUGUAGGGCCCUUCCUAGCUUGGCUUAGGGAAGGUGACAGAGGUGAGGGUUUUACUAACACCAAAUUUCUUCAGUUAAAUAGAGGUGACUCCUGCUGGAAGUGAGCUAGAGAGGUUACAUGCUUAACCAAUUUAGAGGUUUCCUGCCUGAAAGCAAUUUCUGAGCACAUGGAUAAGUUUUAUCCUUUCCCAAGUGAAAAGCUUGGUGAAGGAUUUUAAGAACUUUUCAUUGGCUGGAGGCUGGCAAAUAGAGUUUGCCAUCCUGACUGUAGCCAUCUUGGGGGCUGAAAAGUAUGCCCUAGAGAAGUAGCCUAUUCUAUUUUUGCAGGGGAAUACUGAGGUUUAAUUUCUCUUACAGAGCCCUUUUAGAUUAGAAGGGGCUUGAAGUGUGUUAAUACCUUGAAACUUUCAUGCCUUUGACUUAGCUGCCUGAUCAGCUAAUUUAUUUCCUUCGGCUACCUUGUUUCCUUUCAAUGUUCCUUAAAAUGCAUCCCUGCUGUUUUUUCGUGGAAGAAAAACUGAAGAUAAUAACCUGCUAAUUUCCUGGCGAUAUUUUAUAGGAGAUCCAUUAGUGGUAAGAAAAUGUCUUUCCUUUUAAACGGCCCCAGCAUGAGCAUGGAGAGCUAUGAAAGCAUACUUGGAGUUAGUGUAAAUGUUAGCUGCCUUUCCCUUGCUUAAUUUAGGUGCUCUUGUAAGAGCUAUUAGCUCAGCUAAUUGAGCAUUUGUGCCUGGCGAGAGUGACUAUUGCUUAUCCUGCCUUAUGUACUUCUUGCUUUACCGGCUGUCAGCUAAGAGCUCCCCCUAGAGGACAGUGAUUCUGCUACAUUAUGUGGGCUGUAAACAGUUAAAUUAUUUCCUAGGAUUAACUUGGAGGCUUUUCUGACUAGUAGAGCUGUCAUGACAAUGGCUUGCAAGCAUGUGUCAGCUAAGGUUGAGAAAAAGAUUGGAUUAGCCUUUUUCCUGAGAUGCCCCUUACGGUCGUGCUCUGGGGAGAGGGGAGGUCUGGAUUAGAGAGGAGAAGAGAGAGAGUGACUAGCUCUAGUGUUUGGAAGGAGGUUUACUUUCCUUCCUUUAAUUUCCAGAAUCAUCCAGAGCUCCUGUGCUGUAAUGGCAGUUUGAACCGCUGGAGCCAAGAUUUGAGCCCCGGGACCCAUCAGUCCUGCUGGACCAUACGCGAGACUGAUCCUGAACCCAGUGACCUCUGCCUCUGGGGGCAAUUCCAUCUCCAGUGGUUUUUGCCACAGGCUGACAGGGUCAAGCUUGCUUCGUCUUGCUGCCUGGGCAAUCCUUAAAAUGCCCUGGCAUGCCACAUCAAUAGCAACUAGCAGAUGCACCUUGGGGAUUCUGGACGUUGCAAGCCUGCAAAGCUGCUGCUAGAGCCUCUGUCCUUCUCCUGAGCUUGCUGUCUUUCUUUUGGGCCUCCUCCUCCUGGUCCAUAUUAUUAAAGACCGAAGUGGCCACUGUCAGGUGGUUCUCUAAGGUGCUGUCUGGUCCUGUACCUUGAUUUUGAUUUGUGGUUUCCUUCUACUAUCAGGAGCUGCCUUGUGUAAUAAACGUGUCCUUCAGGAUGAGCUGCUCCUCAACUGAAUUAGGGGAUAUGGAGGUGUACUCUAUUAGUGCCUCUCUUAGCCUUUCCAUAAAGGCUACAGGAUUCUUAUCUGGUCCAUUAUAGACAGUUUAGAGUUUGAUACCCAACCUUGUUUUAACCUGAAUUGACUCUCCCUUAGCUUGAGAGAGCCAGACAGACUCCAUCUUGGCUCCUUCACUUACAGCCCCUUACCCACCCCCUUCCUCAAGGACUUAACUUGUGCAAGCAGUCUCCCAGCACAUCCAAGGAUGCAAUUAACUGAUAAGAUACUGUGGCAAGCUGUAUCCACAGUUCCUAGGAAUUUGCCCAGUUGAUAGCACCCAGAGCCCCGGCGUUUGUGUCCGGUUGAUAACACCCAAAGCCCCACAUCUAUCACCUUGUGGUGGAUUUAAAGCCCCUGUACCUGAAACUGUUUGCUUUCCCAUAACCAUUUAUCCUUUUAACUUUUUGCCUGCUUUACUUCUGUAAGAUUGUUUUAACUAGACUUCCCCCACUCCCCUUUCUAAACCAAAGUAUAAAAGAAAAUCUAACCCCUUCUUCAGGGCCGAGAGAAUUUUGAGCACUAGCCAUCUCUCGGCCGCUGGCUAAUAAAGGACUCCUGAAUUCGU